UACGAAGGGGGCUAGCGUUGCUCGGAAUCACUGGGCGUAAAGGGUGCGUAGGCGGGUUUUUAAGUCAGGGGUGAAAUCCUGGAGCUCAACUCCAGAACUGCCUUUGAUACUGAAGAUCUUGAGUCCGGGAGAGGUGAGUGGAACUGCGAGUGUAGAGGUGAAAUUCGUAGAUAUUCGCAAGAACACCAGUGGCGAAGGCGGCUUACUGGUCCGGAUCUGACGCUGAGGCGCGAAAGCGUGGGGAGCAAACAGG
rnacentral:rRNA from 1 species